rnacentral:lncRNA from 1 species
GUUCAAAAAAACCACAAACUCAAGUUCAAACACGACACAACCUCAAGUUCAACAAAAACCACAAACUCAAGUUCAACCAACACAUGAUUCUCACGUUUAAAAAUUUUCAGAACCUCAAGUUCAAAAAACACACAAAUUCAAGUUAAACAAAUAACAGGAAUGCAAGUUCUGAAACGACACAAACUCAAGUUCUGAAACGACACAAACUCAAGUUCAACCAACACCCAAAUCUCAAGUUUAACAAUUGCCACAACCUCAAGUUCAACAAACACACAAACUCAAAUUCAAACACACAACAAACUCAAGUUCAAACAUGACACAAACUCAAGUUCAAAAACUCAAGUUCAGCCAAUACCCAAUUCUCAAGUUUAACAAUUUCCAAAACCUCAAGUUCAAAAGCAACACAGACUCAAGUUCAAAAACACCACAAACUCAAGUUCAAACACGACACAAGCUCAAGUUCAACAAACCCCUCAAACUCAAGUUCAAACACGACACAUGCUCAAGUUCAACAAAUCCCAUAAACUCAAGUUCAACAACUGCCACCAAGUAAAGUUCACUAAAAACCAUAAACUCAAGUUCAACAAUUGACAGAAAACUUAAGUUCAAAAAACACACAAAAUCUAGUUCAAAAACACCACAAACUCAAGUUCAAACAUGACAAAGUCAAGUUCAACCAACACUCAAAUCUCAAAUUAAACAAUAUCCAAAACCGCAAGUUCAAAAACAACAGAAACUCAAGUUCAAACACGCCACAAACUCAAGUUCAACAAAUGUAAAAGUUUUAAGUUCAACCAAAACCCAAAUCUCAAGUUUAACAAUUUCAACAACCUCAAGUUCAAAAACAACAGAAACUCAAGUUCAAACACGAGACAAACUCAAGUUCAACAAACACACAAUCCUCAAGUUCAACAAUUGCCACAACCUAAAGUUCAAAAACACCCCCAACUCAAGUUCAAACAAGACACAAACUCAAGUACAACAAACGCCACAAACUCAAGUACAACAAACGCUACAAACUAAAGUUCAGUGAAAAAUACAGACUCAAGUUCAACAAUUGCCACAAACUCAAGUUCAACAAAUGACCUAAACUCACAUUUAACAAUUGCCAAAAACUCAAGUUCAACAAACUCAAGUUUAAAAAUUGCCACAAACUCAAGUUAAAAAAUGCUGAAACUGAAGUUCAACGAACACCACAAACUCAAGAUCAACAAAUUUCAAAGUUUGAAGUUCAACAACACCCAAAUAUCAAGUUUAACAAUUGCCACAACCUCAAGUUCAACAAACACACAAACUCAAGUUCAAAAACACCACAAACUCAAGUUCUUAACAACACAAACUCAAGUUCAAAAAACACACAAGUUCAAGUUCAAAAACACCCCAAACUGAAGUUCAAACAUGAAACAAAGUCAAGUUCAACCAAAUCCCAAAUCUCAAGUUCAACAAUUUCCACAACUUCAAGUUCAAAAACAACAGAAACUCAAGUUAAAACACGCCACAAACUCAAGUUCAACAAAGACACAAACUCAAGUUCAAAAACACCACAAACCCAAGUUCAACCAACACCCAAAUCUCAAGUUUAACAAUUGCCACAAAACUAAGUUAAAAAACCACACAAACUCAAGUUCAAAAACACCACAAACUCAAGUUCAAACAUGACACAAACUCAAGUUCAACGAACACCCAAAUCUCAAGUUCAACAAUUGCCACAACCUCAAGUUCAAAAACAACAGAAACUCAAGUUAAAACACGCCACAAACUCAAGUUCAACAAAGACACAAACUCAAGUUCAAAAACACCACAAACCCAAGUUCAACCAACACCCAAAUCUCAAGUUUAACAAUUGCCACAAAACUAAGUUAAAAAAACCACACAUACUCAAGUUCAAAAACACCACAAACUCAAGUUCAAACAUGACACAAACUCAAGUUCAACCAACACCCAAAUCUCAAGUUUAACAAUUGCCACAACCUCAAGUUCAAAAACAACAGAAACUCAAGUUCAAACACGAGACAAACUGAAGUUCAACAAACACACAAACUCAAGUUCAAUCAAUACCAAUUCUCAAGUUUAACAAUUUCCACAACCUCAAGUUCAACAAACUCAAGUUCAAAAAUUGCAAAAAAAUCAAGUUCAAAUAUGACACAAACUCAAGUUCAACCAACACCCAAAUCUCAAGUUUAACAUUUGCCAAAACCUCAAGUUCAAAAACAACACAAACUCAAGUUCAAACACGCCACAAACUCAAGUUCAACAAACACACAAACUCAAGUUCAAAAACACCACAAAUUCAAGUUCAAACAUGUCACAAACUCAAGUUCAACAAACACAGAAACUCAAGUCAACCAAUACCCAAAUAUGAAGCUUAGCGUUAAGGGGUGUUCAGACCAAACGCGACUUCGGUGACGUCGGCGAUGGCUCCCAAUGCAAGUCUAUGGACAGCCGCGACCUGACGCGACUUGGCGACCGCUGGCUACCUGCGUCGCGUUGCCGAGGUUGCGUUGCCGAGGUCGCAGGACGCCAAGUCUCGUCGCUCCCAAAGUUCAAAUAUUUGAACUGGGCUACGGGAUGUAUAUAUGAGGGAAUAAAGGAGGGAGAUGGAAGGUAGGAGAAGCGGGUCAGCAGCGACCAGCCGUGUCCUGCGACCGCAGCUUUGGACCUAGUGUGAACACACCAGAGCACCACGCGACGCGACGCGACCUGGUCGCGGCUGCAAUUACACCUAAUCCGCGGAGCCAAAUCCUUGCAGGUACUGACAUUAGUCUUGCUGUGCUCAGACUACAAUGAUAGACGCAUUGUGGAUUGCGGAGAUGAGCCUGUGAUGCUUAAAUAUCGUGAUGCCCGGCUGUUUAAAUCUCCGACCUUGGCUGAAUUCAUAGCUUUCGGCGUAUUUGUAGAUGUCAUAUGUAAAGUGUUUUCAGCACGCAGAACUGAACUGGACACAUAUCUCGCCAUUAUUUCUGAUUCAGCCAUGACAUAGGGAGGAUCAUUAUUCUAGGAACAUUACAAAUCAUUUUCAGCAAAGCUGCUAAGUACAUUCAAAGAUUCAGCCAAAGACUUGAUCAGUCCGUAGUCGACCUGGCUCUAAUCAGUUAACAAUUCACCGAGCAUCAAGCUUUUUCCUGCUUAAUCUGCGGGUCUUUCUCUCACCUGGAGGUGAAAGUAAGCCAUUACGCAGCAGUACGCCAUUUCGGGAAGACAUAAUCAGCUGUUUAAAGUUUUCACCCCUGUCAUGUAUCUAGGCUUAGUCUGUUGCUGCACAUCAGUCUGCACUCUGCGUUAUAACCGAAGUAAUCCAAUAGGACCAUGCCGCUUGAGAGUGAGUGGUAUUUGCUUACAAAUAAACUCCAAGUGGGAGCACCAGUGCGCACUUUUGAUUGGACGCUGGUUGCCUAGGUGCAGGGGCCCACCUUCCGCCUUUUGCGGAAGGAGGGAACUUUUAAAGAGUCAGCUGCUUCAAUCUUAAUGCAGAAAUAAGACAAAAUGCAGAGGUAAUAAUAAUAAUAAUAAUAAUAAUAAUAAUAAUAAUAAUAAUAAUAAUAAUAAUUUUAUGUUUAAGAGAGAGAUACAGCAGAUGAUGAUACUGUGGCAUCGGAGUCAGCAACUCGCUUAACUUGGGUGUGCUCCUCUUGUACAAAGUCUACGGGUACAGUACCUGGAGGAACCUUAUCCUACCUUGUCCACCCCUGCCCACACCUCUAAUCGGUGCCCUAAAACUGUGGCUACAGGCCAACCACCCAAGCCUCUCUAAGCCUACUACUCGGAGAAGCCAAGUUACUCCAGGGACGGGCAUCUGAAAUCAGCAUGCCCAUGACGCACCCACCUGGUAAAACGGGAAAGAACAAAGCUGUCUACUCUGUCAAAUGUCCUUGAGCCAGGGAAGGCACUGGCAAAGCAUCCCAACGGCUGUUCGUGAAGCCAUUCAUUCAGACUGUGUUAGUCUGAGUGCAGCCUUGCAAUCCUUAGUGCUCUCUGUUGACAGCUACUUGAGAGCUGGUUAAGCAAAAUCAGCAUUAAAGUUUAUACGAUUCUGCAUGGUCUCACUUUACCUCUUUUGUACCACCUUCUCUGUAGCCCCAACGCCCUAAAUAUAUCCAUUGUAUGUGCUUUAAUAGUCCACAGUUUUGAAUCUCGCACUUUUUUUCUUCUUCUAAUAUUUCCAAAACUAACUCUGUCUUUGUUCUUUAUCCUCCAUGUCCCGCUGCCUGAGAGGCCGGCCACUGGCCAGCCACUAAGAGUCUCUCUUUGCCACUGAAGAAGGGAAACCUAUAUCCAGAUUGCAGCUUUCUGCUCACCUCUGCCUGCUCUGCCAAUCCUGUUGGCUCCUACCUGAGUACAACUCUACGCAUUCACCACGCAUAGGCACAGCUACAACUGCAUCUUCCAUCGUCCCCGUCUCGACGCUCAAGGCUACGGGUCAAUGGUCCCGAUCAGCCUUUGAAUGAUACCUCAGGCCCAAGGCUAAUAUAUUAUUAUUAUUAUUAGAAUAUUCCUAUGCUCGAUUAGCUACAAAAAAAAAAAUGCUGCUGCUCCUUAAUUCUUUCCCAUAUCUAUUGCAUUACGCAUAUUCCCAACUAUAAAUUUGUGUAUGGAUUAAAUUAAUCCUGAUCCAUGAUCAUGUUGUGAGGGUAACCAAUACUAUGCAAGCUUUGUAGGUGGGUAGGUUGCUUCAUAGUUUCUCGCUGCUGGCUGCCCUCCCUCCCCCGUAGGUGCCUUCAUGUAGCUCAUGAAAGCUGGGGAGGGUUGCCAGUAUGGCUGCUGCUUUUUCUGCCUUGGCUUUUCAUAUAUGCACAUGAAAGGGAGGGGAGGGCAUUCCCUCUCAUUGCCUUGGGAUUCUAUGCAAGCACAUGAGAGAGCAGGGAACUCUCAGAACACAGCCAUACCGACAAUGUUAAAAAUUUUUUUUGCUAGUAAUAAAUAAUUGAUUCUAACUAAAGUAGUCCUGACUGAAAUUAAGCAUGGCUGUAGUUCAGGCAGGACACAAGGUACAGUCAAGCUAAAGGUUAAAGCCAGCUGAUCUUAAGCUAGCCCUCAGUCAGAUGACAGCUUAGCUGAUCGCCCUCCACACAUCCUUCAGAUCGCUACACGGCUCAUUCCUUUCACAUAGGUGCAGCUACAACCGCAGCUAUGACGGCUCCUGUGUCGACCCUCAAAGCCAUGGGCCAAUAGUCGUCAGCUGCGUACAAAUGCUAUCUGCGCCCCGAGGCUCGGGACAUUCUCGAAGCCCAAAAACUAUGAGUACCCAUAACUUUGGCACAUAGAUGCUAAUUAAAUGAAAUAUAUAAACAACCUGCAGAUAAAUAUCCAUGCUUGGGCAACGGGUCUCUCUAACCCGUCUUUCUUUCAGCAGCGCUCACCUCCCCUGCUAGCUCCUAGACUGCACGGCAUGGUUGUUUUGGGGGGUUCUGUUCAUUGCUGCUCUACCCCUGCCUCCUCCGCCUUCAUGAUGGCACGUGGAGGGCGGGAAGGUGCUCUUCCUGCCGCUGGCCUUUCACCCCUGCCAACGUGGAGAACGGGGGCCCUGAACAGAACCUCGCGUGCGCUCCCUGCUAUCGCCUUUCAUGAUGGCUCGUGAAAGGCAGGAAGGGGCUCUUCCUGCCUCGGGCUUCCACACAAGCGCGUGGAAGGGCAGGGACCCGGAACAGAAUCAUGCCGCCAAAUCUAACUUGCACAAUAAAGCUAAAAAUUUGGACAAAGUGUACCUGACUGAAAUGAAGCAUAGCGUUAGUUCUGUCAGGACACAACGUCAAGCGCUGAUCCACAGCCAAUGGCUAGUAGCCACCUCAACCAGAUGAUAAUCAGCUGAUUCACACCUAGAUCCUAUUGGUUCUUUGCCUAUAGAGUGCCUUAUUUAAAACUGCACUAACCCAGCCUCUUCCUCUGCUCUGACAGCAAACCAGCAACACACUGCCACACCAGCUCCACCCUCGUGCCAGCUAAUUGCUCCACUGUCCUUGAAGCGCUCCUGUUCCAGGGGGGUUUGUUCAUUGCUGCUCUACCCCCGCCACCUCCGCCUUCAUGAUGGCUCGAGGAGGGCGAGUUUAACAAUUUCCACAACCUCAAGUUCAAAAAGAACACAAACUCAAGUUCAAACACGCCACGAACUCAAGUUCAACAAACAAACAAACUCAAACUCAAGUUCAAAAACACCACAAACUCAAGUUCAACCAACACCCAAAUCUAAAGUUUAACAAUUGCCGAAGCCUCAAGUAAGAAAAACAACAAAAAUUCAGGUUAAAACAUGCCACAAACUCAAGCUCAACACCGCCACAAACUCAAGUUAAAAAACACCACAAACCCAAGUUCAAACACGCCACGAACUCAAGUUCAACCAAAUCCCAAAUCUCAAGUUUGACAAUUGCCACAACCUCAAGUUCAAAAACAACAGAAACUCAAGUCAAAACACGCCACAAACUCAAGUUAAACAAACACACAAACUCAAGUUCAAAAACACCACAAACUCAAGUUCAACCAACACCCAAAUCUCAAGUUUAACAAUUGCCACAUACUUAAAUUCAAAAAACACACAAAAAUUCAAACUAAAGUUCAGGGAAAAAUACAGACUCAAGUUCAACAAUUGCCACAAACUCAAGUUCAACAAACACCACAAUCUUAAGUUCAAAAAAUGCCAAAAUUUCAAAUUCAACAAAUGACCUAAACUCACAUUUAACAAUUGCCAAAAACUCAAGUUCAACAAACUCAAGUUCAAAAAUUGCAACAACCUUAAGUUCAAAAAACACACAAAUUCAAGUUCAAAAACACCACAAACUCAAGUUAAAAAAAACACAAAAAUUCAAGUUCAAAAACACCACAAACUCAAGUUAAAUGAACACCACAAAGUCAAGUUCAACAAAUGUCAAAGUUUUAAGUUCAACCAACACCCAAAUCUAAAGAUUAACAAUUGCCAAAACCUCAAGUUAAAAAACAACACAAACUCAAGUUCAAACACGCGACAAACUCAAGUUUAACAAUUGCCACCAAAUAAAGUUCACUAAAAACCAAAGACUCAAGUUCAAAACUCAAGUUCAAAAAUUGCAACAAACUCAAGUUCAAACACAACACUCAAGUUCAAACACGACACAAACUCAAGUUCAAACACGACACAAACUCAAGUUCAAACACGACACAAACUCAAGUUCAACAAACACACGAACUCAAGUUCAACAAUUGCCACCAACUAAUGUUCAGAGAAAAAUACAGACUCAAUGUUAACAAUUGCCACAAACUCAAGUUCAACAAACACCACAAGCUUAAGUUCAAAAAAUGCCAAAAUUUAAAAUUCAACAAAUAACCUAUAUUAACAUUAAAGAAUUGCCAAAAACUUUAGUUCAACAAACUCAGGUUCAAAAAACACACAAAUUCAAGUUCAAAAACACCACAAACUCAAGUUCAAAAAUGCCGAAACUUAAUUUCAACCAACACCCAAAUCUCAAGUUUAACAAAUUGCCACAACCUCAUGUUCAAAAACAACAGAAACUCAAAUUCAAAAACACCAAAAACUCAAGUUAAAAAAAACCCACACAAAUUCAAGAUCACAAAACAGCAAAAUCUCAAGUUCAAACACGACACAAACUCAGGUUCAACAAACACACAAACUCAAGUUUAACCAAUACCCAAUUCUCACGUUUAACAAUUUCCACAACCUCAAGUUCAAACACGACACAAACUCAAGUUCAAACACGACACAAACUCAAGUUCAAACACGACACAAACUCAAGUUCAAACACGACACAAACUCAAGUUCAAACAACACCCAAAUAUCAAGUUUAACAUCUGCCAAAACCUCAAGUUCAAAAACACCACAAACUGAAGUUCCAAACGACAAAAACUUAAGUUCAACAAACGCCAAAAACUCAGGUUCAAAAACACCACAAACUCAAGUUCUAAAUGACAAAAACUCAAGUUCAACAAACACACGAACUCAAGUUCAACCAAUGCCCACUUCGCAAGUUUAACAAUUUCCACAACCUCAAGUUUAAAAAAAAACAAAAACUCAAGUUCAGACACACCACAAACUCAAGUUAGAAAAACACACAGACUCAAGUUAAAAAAUAACCAGAAAAUCUAGUUCAAACACUUCACAAACUCAAGUUCAAAAACACCACAAACUCAAGUUCAACCAACACCUAAGUCACAAGUUUAACAAUUGCCACAAACUUCAGUUCAAAAAACACAAAAGCUCAAGAUCAAAAACACCACAAACUCAAGUUCAAACACGAUUCACAAACUCAAGUUCAACCAAAUCCCAAAUCUCAAGUUUAACAAUUUCCACAACCUCAAGUUCAAAACCAACAGAAACUCAAGUUCAAACACGCCACAAACUCAAGUACAGAAAAACACCACAAACUCAAGUUCAACAAUUGCCACCAAGUAAAGUUCAGAGAAAAAUACAGACUCAAGGUUAACAAUUGCCACAUACUCAAGUUCAUCAAACACCACAAGCUUAAGUUCAAAAAAUGACAAAAUUUCAAAUUCAACAAAUGACCUAUAUUCACAUUAAACAAUUGCCAAAAACUCAAGUUCAACGAACUCAAGUUAAAAAAGUGCCACAAAAUGAAGUUCAAAAACACCACAAACUCAAAUUCAAAAAACACACAAACUCAAGUUCAAAAACACCACAAACUCAAUUUCAAACACGAUACAAACUCAAGUUCAAC